UGGAGAGCCCUCUUUUAUAGUAAAUUUUGUUGGCGCAUGUAUGAUUGUUUAGUUUUUACUUUUUUGGUAAUGCUUUGUGUUUUAUACAUUUAAAACMGAUAUAUAUUUGGCUUAUGGAUUUAUUUUUCAUGUGUUACUAUUGUUAAUUUUCUUUGGAUUAAUUUUUAAUUUUUUUGUUGAAAUUGGAAAAGAAAGUAAUUUUUUCUUAAKGUAAUAAUGAAUUUA
rnacentral:rRNA from 1 species